rnacentral:rRNA from 1 species
AUUGAACGCUGGCGGCAUGCCUUACACAUGCAAGUCGAACGGAUUCUUGGGGCUUGCUCCAAGAGUUAGUGGCGAACGGGUGAGUAAUGCAUCGGAACGUGCCCAAUCGUGGGGGAUAACGUAGCGAAAGUUACGCUAAUACCGCAUACGUCCUGAGGGAGAAAGCAGGGGACUCGCAAGAGCCUUGCGCGAAUGGAGCGGCCGAUGUCGGAUUAGCUAGUUGGCGGGGUAAAAGCCCACCAAGGCGACGAUCCGUAGCUGGUCUGAGAGGACGACCAGCCACACUGGGACUGAGACACGGCCCAGACUCCUACGGGAGGCAGCAGUGGGGAAUUUUGGACAAUGGGCGAAAGCCUGAUCCAGCCAUGCCGCGUGAGUGAAGAAGGCCU